UACGUAGGGUGCGAGCGUUGUCCGGAAUUAUUGGGCGUAAAGAGCUUGUAGGCGGUUUGUCGCGUCUGCUGUGAAAACCCGGGGCUCAACCCCCGGGCCUGCAUUCGAUACGGGCAGACUAGAGUUCGGUAGGGGAGUCUGGAAUUCUUGGUGUAGCGGUGAAAUGCGCAGAUAUCAGGAGGAACACCAGUGGCGAAGGCAGGCUACUGGACAGAAGGUGACGCUGAGGCGCGAAAGUGUGGGGAGCGAACCGG
rnacentral:rRNA from 1 species